CCUCACCUGGCAACCCAAGUGGAGCAACACCAACUUCAUUUAAGACUUUAGCGCUGCCAUGGCUGCUGGAAAAGAAAAAUAUUUUGUUGUCGGAUGCAAUACAGAGCAUACGUCCAUGCAUUUUUUUUCCCCAGUCACGGAGAACAGAGCUGCGUGGCUUCGUUUUAUUUUUGCUUGCAAUGUCCCUCCGAUAUUGCCAAAGAAAGUUGUAGUUUGUGCAAAUCAGUUUGGGAAGGACUCUGAAAACUACAAACGGUAUAAGGCAGGAUUUACCAAAAUACUUGGACUGCAGGAAGGUUUUCUGUUCCUACUGUUCGUCACAGUUCUGCAGAUGAUGGCGAGGCUCAGGUUACGUUCAAGGAGAAAAAUCCAGCUCAAUGGAAGAAAUCCCGGACGGGGACUGAAGGGAGAUGAGAAUCGAUCUGUAUUGCUUAGGAAGGCAAAGAAUGAUCAGGAGAAUAGAGUUUCCAAUACCCCAGUCAUUCCUGAGAUCCUAUUCAUCUCCUCAGCAUCUCCGUGAGGCCUCAGCGGUGGGGUGUGUAUAGACACAACAGCCUGCUAGUCCCAUCGCAACAAAGAUGCAUAACAGCAUGAGCCGAGGGGAAGGCUUCAGGAGAGACUAACAAGCAGUUAUUUCUUGUCAAGUUAAUGCAAUUUAACUCUGAUAUGCAAUAUUUCUUUAAAACUGAUAAAAAAUAACUUAAACAAUCAUGAAUACAGUAGUAAUGUAAAUGAUGAGGACAUCCUAAUAAUCAGGAGGUCAACUUUUCACCACUGGGAGCAAGCAGCCGAUAACUUUAUAAACCUAACAGCUCAUGGGCUGUUUGCUGCUGUGCCAAAGGAACGUUUUCAGAUUAGGCACACCUGCCCUCUGGAUGUUUUUCCCAUUUCUCUUGGCAGAGACCUUUAAGCUCAGCCAACUUGGUUCAAGAGAAUCGAUGUCGGUACGUUCUCAGGUUUUGUCAAGCAAUGAUCGGUAAGGUUCAGACUUGAGCUGGGUCACAGUUCACCUGAGCAGUUUUGUCAUCCUGUCAUAUGCUUUAAGUUCGUUUUUUGUUAAAAUCUCAGCCUACUUUUGGUAGAUGGGUUUACUUCUGUUAGGCAUAGGAAAUCCAUUGCACAAGAACAUCCCAGGUCAGGAGAAUAUUCACAAAUCAGUUCAGCCAUUGAUGGAGAAAUGGCUACGAUCGCUUCGGGUGCACUAUUGAUAUUAUGGAUAAAUGUCUUUUUAGAUUGCUUUGCAAAUAAAAAUCUGAAAGAUGUGACAUGCAUUUUUAUUCAAUAUGCUUAAGUUAAAACUUUGUAAAAUCGACUUUUUGUGCAACUCCAGCUGCACAUCUUAGGGGUGAUUCUCCAUCAGCCUUUUUAUUAAUGGACAGAAGGUUUUGUUUAUGUUUUGGAAAAUAGCACAGGUUCAGUUAGGCUGGAUGCAAUGGUAGACAUCAUUGAAUCAUCAUUAUAAAUCUGUUUUAUCACAGAUUUAUAAUUGGAUUCAGUCAUAGAUUUUGAUUGAACUAGUCUAACAUGAAUUAUUUUUGCCAUUUCCCUGCUAAAAAGUGAACCUCUGACUCUCAAGUAUUUUACACCCUGUUUUCCUGCUAGUUUCAACAAUCAUUCUUUCCACUUUGACCACCUCCCCGGUCCCACCUGAAUUUAAAGCAUGCUGCUGCCACUGCCAUGUUUCACUGUGGUUAUGGUGUGUUCAAUAUUAUGUGCAACUUUUCAAUAAUUCAGAAAAUUAAGAAGUUAAUUUAUUUUUGUAACUCAGCUCACUAAGUACAACAUUAUAGACUAAUUACAAUCCGAUUGAUGUUUUAAAUCCUUUGUUGGUUAAAAAUCAUUUUCAACCUACAGCUCAUUAAAAACACUACAUUUAAAAUUAGAAUAUUACAUCAGAUCAGCUGAAACCAACUUGUUUGUUAGAGACUGCAUGUCAGUCCUCCUUCAGGCCAGACCACCUUCUUCCACAAAUAGGAUCUGUCACAGCCAACAGUGGCUUUCUUCCUAUCACUCCUCUGUAAAAGUAAUUUUUGUGGAAGACACAACUAACAGUUGUCUUGUCAAUAGGUUCUAUCACCUGCAGCUCCUGCAAAGCCGCUAGUCUGAUUCUCUGAUUGAUGCUCUGGUUGUCCCGUUUGUCAGUUUAGGUGGAUCAGCAUACUCUUUUCAUUUUCAGAUGAUGUUCAUAGAAUGGGACAUUUUUUUUAUAACUCAACUCUGAUUAAACCUUUCCACAACAUUCCUCUUGAUCAGUCUGUUGUAAUCUUUGGUCUUCAUGACGCUGUUUGGUCUCAUGUGAAACCCCCACAGGACUGCUGCAUUUAUGCUGAGAUUAAAUCACACACCCUCUUAGAUUUUAUUUAAGAGGAUCGUAAAUAUGGGGUCUGAAUAUGAUUGCACACCACACUUUUCAGAUUUUAUUUGUUUAACAUUUAGAAAACGAUUUCCUCUUUCUUAAUAUGCACUGCUUUGUGUUGGUCAGUUUCACAAAGUACCAAUGAAAUUAUUCAAUGUUAAUCGUCGGAAGGGGAAAAACUGGGAAAAAGUUCAAGGGGAAGAAAUACUUUCAUAAGGGCAUAGUAAAUAGUGCAAUCUUGGAUUUAUUAGUUCAAUGAAUUUUACUUUUCAUACUUUAAAAGUCAGGUGACAUUUGGGGAACUUCAAAGGUAACAUGAAUGACUUUUAGACUUUACUUAGCAACAGCCUUUGUCUGGCCAGUACGGCAUGAAAUUCUGAUUGAUAGAGUGCUGUGCUGACUUUGGUAGUUCUGCAAUGUUCUUCCAUCUCUAUAAAGAAACACUGAAUCCAGGAUGUUGGUCAUUUAUCUUUGGCUGCUGAUGACUUGGAGCUAAAACACUGAAACCAACUUGCACAGAGUAAUCUUGCCCAAAAUAAAUAAGGAGUAUGUCUUGGAGUGAGUACUGGUUCUGGACAUUUGCUUUACUUUUUUACUGAGAACUUAGCAUAAAGUGCUAAGUCACUGGUUACUAGUUAAUAGUGACCAGUAAUCAUCUUUGUUCUAAUAUACUGGUUUAUUGCCUUAAUUAUAAUAAAAUCAAUAAUUG